rnacentral:rRNA from 1 species
AUGUCGCCUCUCCUGAAGCUCGUCUCAAUAUCUCUACUACUAAUACCCUGGUUUCCUCAUACUAUGGCAGUGACAUCCCUCCUGGAAGAGCAAGCAGAGGCCCUCCUUGCCUGGAAAGCCACACUCCAAAGCCAUCCAACCCAACUACAAUCCUGGGGAAGUGCAAACAACACUGCACGGCCAUGCAGCUGGCAUGGCAUCAGGUGCAGCAAGCAUCGAGCAAGGCGCCGGGAGGUGAUCACCGAGAUCUCUCUACCCGGGUUGGGGCUCGGAGGGGAGCUGGACAACCUCAACUUCACUGUGCUGCAUACUCUCAUGAGCAUCCAACUCUCCAACAAUAAGAUAAGGGGCUCCUUUCCACCUGCUUUAGCAUCAUCCUUACCAAAGCUGAGACACCUAAUGCUCCAAGAGAAUGAGCUUUCCGGUGAAAUACCAAGCCAAAUAAAACUACUAGAGAGCCUGGUUGUGUUAGAUUUCUCAGCCAACCACUUGUCUGGUCUCAUCCCCACAGAACUAGGCUACCUAAAGAAGCUGGCUAGGUUAGAUUUUUCCAACAACAGUCUCACUGGUCCUAUUCCAAGAAAUCUAGGGAAAUCUACUAGUAUCACAAUCUUGUACCUUGGUGGUAAUCAGUUAUCCGGAUACAUCCCUCAAGAACUAGGUUACCUGCUGCAUUUAAAUCAGCUGUCUCUUCAGAAAAACAAGUUAAUUGGUUCCAUCCCCAAUUUCUUUGGGAGAUUGAUUAGCCUCAAAGGCUUGUACCUAUGGGGUAACCAACUUUCCGGACGUAUUCCUCAAGAACUUGGUUUCCUAGUAAAUUUAGAAGAGUUGGAUCUUAGCAGCAACCAACUCACGGGUUCCAUCCCCGGUACAUUUGGAAGUUUGUCAAAGCUCACUAUGUUGCACCUUUUUGGUAAUAAAUUAUCCGGAUAUCUUCCUCGAGAACUAGGCAACCUGUCAAAUCUUGAAUAUUUGGAACUUAACAACAACCAACUCAUGGGUUUCAUCCCCCAUAUCUUUGUAAAUUUGACAAAGCUCUCUAUCUUGCGCCUUGAUGCGAACCACUUCUAUGGACAUCUUCCUCGAGAACUAGGUUACAUGGUGGAUCUUGAUAACUUGGAUCUAAGCGAGAACAAACUCAUUGGUUCCAUCCCCAAUACCUUUGGAAGUUUAACUAAGCUCACUCGCUUGUACCUAUGGGGUAACCAACUUUCCAGAAGUAUUCCUCAAGAACUUGGUUUCCUAGUAAAUUUAGAAGAGUUGGAUCUUAGCAGCAACCAACUCACGGGUUCCAUCCCCAGUACAUUUGGAAGUUUGUCAAAGCUCACUAUGUUGCACCUUUUUGGUAAUGAAUUAUUUGGAUAUCUUCCUCAAGAACUAGGGAACCUGUCAAAUCUUGAAUAUUUGGAACUUAACAACAACCAACUCAUGGGUUUCAUCCCCCAUAUCUUUGUAAAUUUGACAAAGCUCUCUAUCUUGCGCCUUGAUGCUAACCACUUCUAUGGAUAUCUUCCUCAAGAACUAGGUUACAUGGUGAUUCUUGAUAACUUGGAUCUAAGCGACAACAAACUCAUUGGUUCCAUCCCCAAUACCUUUGGAAGUUUAACUAAGCUCACUCGGUUGUACCUUGAUGCUAAUCAGUUAACCAGACAUAUUCCUCGAGAACUAGGUUACCUGGUGGAUUUACAAGAACUGACUCUUAGCAAUAACAAGCUCACUGGUUCCAUCCCUGAUGUCAUUGGAAAGUUGACUAAGCUAAGAAAAUUGCGUCUCGGUGAUAAUAAUUUCUCCGGACAUAUUCCUCAAGAAAUCGGUACCUUUAUGAAUCUUGUGGUCUUGCAACUUGGUGCAAACAAUUUCUCUGGUCCCUUGCCACCCGAGUUGUGUGUUGGAGGCCUUCUCCAGAAUUUAACUGCAUUUGAUAACAAUCUGAAUGGACAAUUGCCAUCAAGUUUGGGAAACUGCAAAAGCCUAGUCCGAGUUCGUCUUGAAAGGAAUCAAAUAGAAGGUGAUAUCUCUGAGUUGGGAGUUCAUCCUAAUCUUGUUUAUAUGGACAUGAGUUCAAAUAAACUAUUUGGCCAAUUGUCUUAUAACUGGGGAGUUUGUCAUAAUCUUACCAAGCUAUGCAUAUCAAACAACAACAUCACAGGGAAAAUACCUGCAAGUAUGGGGAGGCUAUCUCAGCUAAAUGUACUUGAUCUCUCCUCAAACAGUCUCGAAGGAGAGCUUCCUAGAGAACUAGGCAAUUUAAAACAAUUAUUCCAGCUGCACCUUGCAGAUAAUUUGUUCCAUGGAAGCAUACCACAAGAAUUUGGAGCAUUGUCCAGUCUAGAGUUGUUGGAUUUAUCAUCAAAUAACCUUAGUGGUUUGGUACAAGGAUCAAUUGAGAAUUGUUUGAAGCUCCGCUCAUUGAAUUUGAGUCACAAUAAUUUUAAAGGAAACAUCCCUGUAGUGCUUGGGGUGUUGAACAACUUACAUGACAUGUUGGAUUUAAGUGAUAAUUCAUUUACUGGGAAAAUACCUAGCCAACUUAGUGGUCUGAUAAUGCUGGAUAAUUUGAAUCUUUCACACAAUGAACUUUAUGGUGUAAUCCCAUCAUCAUUUCAGAGUAUGAAAAUCUUGACAUCCAUUGAUUUAUCUUACAAUGAAUUGGAAGGACCAGUCCCAGAGAGUAAGCUCUUCAAAGAAGCUCCAGUUCAGUGGUUCAUCCAUAAUAAGAUGCUAUGUGGCAUAGUGAAAGGAUUGCCUCCUUGCAAUAACACAACGUGGAGUGGAGGGAAAAGGAAACGAUACAAAACACUUGUACUAGCCAUGGUUACUGCUCUAGUAUCUCUUAUUCUUGUUGUGGCGACGUUGAUUGAAACACAUUGUAUAGGAACUGGGGGAUAUGGAUCUGUCUAUAAAGCCAAACUUGCAACAUCUGAAAUAUUUGCAGUGAAGAAGAUACACAUGAUUGAAGAUGACUAUUGUGUGAACGAGUUGGUAUUCAAUAGUGAAAUCGAGGCAUUGGUGCAGACUCGGCAUAGAAACAUCGUAAAACUAUUUGGAUAUUGUUCCUCUAGCCAAGGCAAAUAUCUUAUCUAUGAAUACAUGGAGAGGGGAAACUUGGCAGAAACACUAAGGGACAAUGAAAGGGCAAUUGAAUUGGACUGGAGAAGGCGGAUAAAUAUUGCACUGGAUGUUGUUCAUGCUUUGGCAUACAUGCAUCAUGAUUGUUCAUUACCAAUAGUCCACAGAGAUAUAACAAGCAACAACAUUUUACUUGAUCUGGAAUUUAGGGCUUGCAUCUCCGACUUCGGUAUGGCUAAAAUUCUCAAUAUUGAUGGUCAAAAUCUCACAAGUCUUGUUGGGACGAAAGGCUAUAUUGCCCCAGAGCUAUCAUAUACAGAGAAUGUGACGGAGAAAUGUGAUGUAUACAGCUUCGGCGUUCUUGUUCUAGAGCUAUUUAUGGGAUACCAUCCAGGAGAUUUUCUCUUUUCUCUCUUGUCGUCCACCAAAAAUAAUGACGUGUGCUUGCAAGAUGUGCUAGACUCAAGGCUCAUUGUCCCUAAUGCUGAAACUGCUAGGGAAAUAUACUACAUCCUCAGUGUUGCAGCUCGGUGUCUGGAGCCUAUUCCAUCAAGCAGACAAACAGCACGACGUGUUCGUGACGAGCUAUCUGUGAUUAAAGUAUGUGAAGAUCAUGUUGAUUAUAUGCAUACUGGCCUCAGCAUUCCUGCAAAACAGUGCCUAUGA